AACUCUUAGCGGUGGAUCACUCGACUCAUGCGUCGAUGAAGAAUGCAGCUAGCUGUGAGAACUAAUGUGAAUUGCAGGACACACUGAUCAUCGACACCGGGCCCCCCGCUGGGCUCCCGGGCGCACCACCAGCCCGUCUUGCCCGCCGCGUCA
ensembl:rRNA 5_8S_rRNA 5.8S ribosomal RNA